AGAUCUGAAACUUCUCCUUCUACUUUCCAUCUUUGGAAGAGUCCAAAUCAAGAAGAAGGAGGCACCUGAUCAACCAUCAAAGAAGGAUCAGUGCAGUACUAGCAUACUGUGCUGAUUUUCUGAAGCAGGACUUCUGAUCGAGAUUCGUGGGCUCGUGUGGACGACUCCUAGAGGCCGGAUACGUGUGCGGCUUGCAACAUCAUCCUUAAGCCCGGAUCAGCG
rnacentral:lncRNA from 1 species